rnacentral:rRNA from 1 species
AUUGAACGCUAGCGGGAUGCCUUACACAUGCAAGUCGAACGGAGUGGCGAACGGGUGAGUAAUGUAUCGGAACGUGCCCAGUAGCGGGGGAUAACUACGCGAAAGCGUAGCUAAUACCGCAUACUAUUGGAGCGGCCGUUAACGGAUUAGCUAGUUGGUGGGGUAACGGCUUACCAAGGCGACGUUCCGUAGCCGGUCUGAGAGGACGACCAGCCACACUGGAACUGAGACACGGCCCAGACUCCUACGGGAGGCAGCAGUGGGGAAUUUUGGACAAUGGGCGAAAGCCUGAUCCAGCCAUCCCGCGUGUGUGAUGAAGGCCUUCGGGUUGUAAAGCACUUUUAUUAGGAAAGCGGUACCUGCAGAAUAAGCACCGGCUAACUACGUGCCAGCAGCCGCGGUAAUUC